AGCGAACGCUGGCGGCAGGCCUAACACAUGCAAGUCGAACGAACUCUUCGGAGUUCGUGGCGGAGGGGUGAGUAACACGUGGGAACGCCCUUCUAUGCUCGGAAUAACUCAGGGAAAGUUGGUCUAAUCCCGAACGUGCCCUUCGGGGGAAAGAUUUAUCGCCUUUAGAGCGGCCCGCGUCGGAUUAGCUAGUUGGUGAGGUAAGGGCACACCAAGGCGACGAUCAGUAGCUGGUGUGAGAGGAUGAUCAGCCACAUUGGGACUGAGACACGGCCCAGACUCCUACGGGAGGCAGCAGUGGGGAAUCUUACGCAAUGGGCGAAAGCCUGACGCAGCCAUGCCGCGUGAAUGAUGAAGGUCUUAGGAUUGUAAAAUUCUUUCAGCGGGGACGAUAAUGACGGUACCAGGAGAAGAAGCCCCGGCUAACUUCGUG
rnacentral:rRNA from 1 species